AGUGAACGCUGGCGGUAGACCUAACACAUGCAAGUCGAACGGCAGCACAGUAAGAGCUUGCUCUUACGGGUGGCGAGUGGCGGACGGGUGAGGAAUACAUCGGAAUCUACUUUUUCGUGGGGGAUAACGUAGGGAAACUUACGCUAAUACCGCAUACGACCUACGGGUGAAAGCAGGGGAUCUUCGGACCUUGCGCGAUUGAAUGAGCCGAUGUCGGAUUAGCUAGUUGGCGGGGUAAAGGCCCACCAAGGCGACGAUCCGUAGCUGGUCUGAGAGAAUGAUCAGCCACACUGGAACUGAGACACGGUCCAGACUCCUACGGGAGGCAGCAGUGGGGAAUAUUGGACAAUGGGCGCAAGCCUGAUCCAGCCAUACCGCGUGGGUGAAGAAGGCCUUCGGGUUGUAAAGCCCUUUUGUUGGGAAAGAAAAGCAGCAGGUUAAUACCCCGCUGUUCUGACGGUACCCAAAGAAUAAGCACCGGCUAACUUCGUG
rnacentral:rRNA from 1 species